rnacentral:rRNA from 1 species
GACGGAGGAUGCAAGCGUUAUCCGGAAUGAUUGGGCGUAAAGCGUCCGCAGGUGGCAGUUCAAGUCUGCUGUCAAAGACCGGGGCUUAACUUCGGAAAGGCAGUGGAAACUGAGCAGCUAGAGUAUGGUAGGGGCAGAGGGAAUUCCUGGUGUAGCGGUGAAAUGCGUAGAGAAUCAGGAAGAACACCAGUGGCGAAGGCGCUCUGCUAGGCCGCAACUGACACUGAGGGACGAAAGC